GCGCCGGACUACGCAGGCGCACCGGCGGGCCGCUCGCAUUGCGCAUGCGCUGCGUCGGAAGCGUUCCGACGUUUUUACUGGGCGCCUCUGCGCGCGCGGGAAGAUGGCUGAGCAGGUGACCAAGUCGGUGCUGUUCGUGUGUCUGGGUAACAUCUGUCGAUCACCCAUCGCAGAAGCGGUUUUCAGGAAACUUGUAACUGAUCAAAACAUUUCAGAUAAUUGGAGGAUAGACAGUGCAGCGACAUCCACGUAUGAACUAGGAAACCCUCCUGAUUAUCGGGGGCAGGCUUGCAUGAAGAAGCAUGGUAUCCCCAUGAGUCACGUUGCCCGGCAGGUACCGUACUUGACCUUGAAAGUGCACUUGUGUGUUUUAUGUUGCAGUGGGUCAUUGACAGUGGCGCUGUUUCUGACUGGAACGUGGGCCGGUCACCAGAUCCAAGAGCUGUGAGCUGCCUAAGAAAUCAUGGCAUUAACACAGCCCAUAAAGCAAGACAGGUUACCAAGGAAGACUUUGCCACUUUUGAUUAUAUACUAUGUAUGGAUGAGAGCAAUCUGAGGGCAACGACGCGGACUUUGAGACCGUCUACCAGCAGUGCAUGCGGUGCUGCAGGGCCUUCCUGGAGAAGGUCCGCUGACCAGGCCGUCCCGCUGUGGCCCAGGCUCGUCCCCCCAGGCCAUGUGUCAACUGUCAACAGUGUCCCUUCUGAGCCAAGGCUGCAGCCCUCCCUUCAGCUUACUCGCUGUUUCUCACCUGACAAAAUAAUUGUAGAUGGAAAUCAGUCUUUGUGUUUAGCAAGAGUAAAUAAAAAAUCUUUGAUUCAGAUAGUUUAUGGGGUAAGAGUUCCUUAGACUUUGCCCCAGUUACAAACCUCCCACUUUGCCCCAGUUACAAAAACAGUGGAACAGUGGAAAUAGUGGAGCAGCACAGUAGAACAUGAUGAAGUGAAUAAGACGUCCUUCCAGGAACCCGCACUACCUCUCCCUCCGGACGGGCCCCUGCCUGCACUACCUCUUGAUGCCAGGGCCUGGCGUCCAGCAACGCUGGUCGAGUGUCACGCGCUCACAGUGCCCACGCGUGUAUUUUCAGGACAGGAAGGAGAGAUUUGUGGGAUUCACCUUUAGCACCUUCACUCCUUCUUAGUUUGUGUCUGUGUAGCUUAUUUCAUAAGGAAGUCAGCUUAUUUGUUCCCAUUUGAACCCCUUUGCCUCUGGAAAUGUAAUUAUAUCCAGGAGAAGUGUGUGCUGGUUUAUCUUAUGGUCAGUUUGGGGACUGUGUCUGCUUCUACAUGCAUAUAAUUGCCUGAAUGCCAAUUAUAGAUCACCUUGUGUAGGAAAAAGUAUUAAGUUGGAAAAAGUCCUUUUAUGUUGGAAUACUUAAAUAUUGAUAUAUUAAGUAUUCUUUUGUCAGUGCCUGGUUGUAGGGAAAUAUACAUAAUUUGUGUGCACUUUGAAAUAACUGAUCUAAAAUUCAUAUGAAUGUAUGUCAGACAAAAUUGUUCUCAAAUAAACUGGGGAAAUUAGAAAAA